UACGUAGGGUGCGAGCGUUGUCCGGAAUUAUUGGGCGUAAAGGGCUCGUAGGCGGUCUGUCGCGUCGGGAGUGAAAACUCAGGGCUUAACCCUGAGCCUGCUUCCGAUACGGGCAGACUAGAGGUAUGCAGGGGAGAACGGAAUUCCAGGUGUAGCGGUGAAAUGCGUAGAUAUCUGGAGGAAUACCGGUGGCGAAGGCGGCAUCCUGGACCGGCAUUGACGCUGAGGAGCGAAAGCUAGGGGAGCAAACGGG
rnacentral:rRNA from 1 species